rnacentral:rRNA from 1 species
CCUACGGGAGGCAGCAGUGGGGGAUAUUGCACAAUGGGGGGAACCCUGAUGCAGCGACGCCGCGUGAGCGAUGAAGUAUUUCGGUAUGUAAAGCCCUAUCAGCAGGGAAGAAAAUGACGGUACCUGACUAAGAAGCGCCGGCUAACUACGUGCCAGCAGCCGCGGUAAUACGUAGGGGGCAAGCGUUAUCCGGAUUUACUGGGUGUAAAGGGAGCGUAGACGGCAUUGCAAGUCUGAAGUGAAAGGCAAGGGCCCAACCGUUGGACUGCUUUGGAAACUGUGCUGCUGGAGUGUCGGAGAGGUAAGUGGAAUUCCUAGUGUAGCGGUGAAAUGCGUAGAUAUUAGGAGGAACACCAGUGGCGAAGGCGGCUUACUGGACGAUGACUGACGUUGAGGCUCGAAAGCGUGGGGAGCAAACAGGAUUAGAUACCCCUGUAGUC